AUGAUUAAACAACUUACCCUAACAGCAGUGCCUUGCCUUUUCCCUCCUCCAGUGAGCUUUCCAACAGAACUGCUAACUUGGACUCCAGAUACUCCAGUAAACUCACAUGGUCCACCAGUCUUUUGCACUUCUAGAUCAGUGCUCCCCAGCCCUGGUCCUGUUGGAGCGCUCUGUCUGCUGGUUUUGACUCCAGGUGUGGAGCAGGAAACAAGGACAGGUCGAACUGGCUCACAACAGGGACUCACGCUCGGGUUGGCUGCUUUGACGUACCUCCCAGGGUCGCGGCCGAGGAGCAGCUCAGACCCGGCAGGCUCCCUUCUGCCUGGUUUCCCUGUUUCGCACUCCAGAAAGCCAGCUGCUUCCCGGUGGGCGACGAGAUGGAUUUGGCCAUUGAAAUAUGUGCGAAUUGUGCCAGAGGGCUCGUUCAGCUGAUCCCUGAAAUGCACCAACACGCCAGCCUGCAACCCCAGGACAGUCGUCCGCUCCACGUCCUCUGACAAGCGCCCUGGGAAUUCCAGCCUUGUAUGUCAAUUACAAGAGGAACAAAAGCAUCCAUUAAACAAUGAGUGUAUUAAGUCUGCAGGUGCUUAAUAUCAGUGAUGAACUGCUGAAGGAUUUAAACAAUGCAGGAAUCUUGGCAGCCUGCAAGAAUGUGGAAGUAAAGACCAGGUUGACAUUCCAGGCCAUUUCCUAGACGCACUCCUUGCUGCCUUGAGUGCUUUCAGUUAUCAAAUACUUUCCAAGUGAGGCUUCCUUUUUCAGCACUCACGGAUCCUCCAAGGUCCGGGCAGCAGGUGUGAGGCCAAGACGACGUUCCUGAGGAGUUGGGCAAACAGAAGGGGAGCUGAUGGCUUUCCCUUCCAUCGGAAAACAAAAGGGAAGGAAUGCAGGAGGAUGGACUCAUGCAUGAUUAGAUGCUGCAGAUAAGACACCCAGAUACUGUAUGUGACCGUAUGCACGGUGCUCUUCGGCCCUGGCUGUUUGAGAAUCGGAUUGGGAAUAAGGAACAAUAGAAUAGGAAAAAAUUGGAAUAGGCUGGCAUCUCACACAUAAACUUUCAAGGUCGGCCUAGAUACACUUGGUUACUCAACCACACUUUUCUGUAGCAGAAGCCGGAGCUCUGUGGGUGAAAAACAGCACAGUCCAAAAGAGGCUCCCAUCCAAUUAGCAGGAAAAGCUUGACCAGCGUACCGUAUAAAAAGACUUCAUCUUUCUGAAAAAGUUUUAACGGACAAACUGCAAUCACAUUUUCUUCUUCUGCUCCUUUGUGGGAAAUAAAAAUAACCAGAGGCAAAAAAAAGAGAGAAAGAAAUAAAGAGAAAAUGUUCCCAAAGAAAAGCGCUGCUCUUGUGGUGUUUUCAGCGGCAGGGUCAUUAGUAAAAGGAGGUCAUUUGCACUUCAUCUGAGUGCUUUUUGACUUUAAUCACAUUUUAAAUAUCGCCAUGGUGAUUGCAAGAGAUGGGCUUAAAAGCAAAAAAUUGCUCAAAAUUGCUUCAUCUCAAGUCAAAUGAGUUCUCAGAGGGUUUGAAAUGCUG
rnacentral:lncRNA from 1 species